UACAGAGGUCUCAAGCGUUGUUCGGAUUCAUUGGGCGUAAAGGGUGCGUAGGUGGUGAUGCAAGUCUGGUGUGAAAUCUCGGAGCUCAACUCCGAAAUUGCACCGGAUACUGCGUGACUCGAGGACUGUAGAGGAGAUCGGAAUUCACGGUGUAGCAGUGAAAUGCGUAGAUAUCGUGAGGAAGACCAGUUGCGAAGGCGGAUCUCUGGGCAGUUCCUGACGCUGAGGCACGAAGGCCAGGGGAGCAAACGGG
rnacentral:rRNA from 1 species